GCUCAGAAACUUAAAUAGAAUUGACGGGGCCCGCCACAAGCGGUGGAGCAUGUGGUUAAUUCGAAGCAACGCGAAGAACCUUACCAGGCCUUGACAUGCAGAGAACUUUCCAGAGAUGGAUUGGUGCCUUCGGGAACUCUGACACAGGUGCUGCAUGGCUGUCGUCAGCUCGCGUCGUGAGAUGUUGGGUUAAGUCCCGUAACGAGCGCAACCCUUGUCCUUAGUUACCAGCACGUUAUGGUGGGCACUCUAAGGAGACUGCCGGUGACAAACCGGAGGAAGGUGGGGAUGACGUCAAGUCAUCAUGGCCCUUACGGCCUGGGCUACACACGUGCUACAAUGGUCGGUACAAAGGGUUGCCAAGCCGCGAGGUGGAGCUAAUCCCAUAAAACCGAUCGUAGUCCGGAUCGCAGUCUGCAACUCGACUGCGUGAAGUCGGAAUCGCUAGUAAUCGUGAAUCAGAAUGUCACGGUGAAUACGUUCCCGGGCCUU
rnacentral:rRNA from 1 species